rnacentral:rRNA from 1 species
CCUACGGGCGGCAGCAGUGGGGAAUAUUGCACAAUGGGGGAAACCCUGAUGCAGCGACGCCGCGUGAGUGAAGAAGUAUCUCGGUACGUAAAGCUCUAUCAGCAGGAAAGAAAAUGACGGUACCUGACUAAGAAGCCCCGGCUAACUACGUGCCAGCAGCCGCGGUAAUACGUAGGGGGCAAGCGUUAUCCGGAUUUACUGGGUGUAAAGGGAGCGUAGACGGCGCUGCAAGUCCGGAGUGAAAGCCCAUGGCUUAACCAUGGUACUGCUCUGGAAACUGUAGAGCUUGAGUGCGGGAGGGGCAGGCGGAAUUCCUAGUGUAGCGGUGAAAUGCGUAGAUAUACGGAGGAACACCAGUGGCGAAGGCGGAUUGCUGGACAGUAACUGACGCUGAGGCGCGAAAGCGUGGGGAGCAAACAGGAUUAGAUACCCGGGUAGUC